rnacentral:tRNA from 1 species
GCCUGGGUGGCUCAAUUGGUUGAGCGUCUGACUUUGACUUAGGUCAUGAUCUUGCGGUUCAUGAGUUCGAGUCCCACAUUGGGCU